AGUGUUUAGGGGAACGAUGUGGAAACUUAGGGGUAGCUGAAUUCUUGUCACUGGAAAGGAAAGAUCAGCUGUUUGGACUCUCAUUCUGACGGCACCCAUUCACUGCAGACGAUCCAUUGGUGUCCAUUCCAGCUGAAUGUGCAGAUUUCAGCCACAGGAGCAUCUCAGUGCUCAGCCCAUGAGCACAUAAUCAUCUGAACUGUCCUCGUUGAUUUUGUGCUUGGCCUUGUCUGUUGUGUUUUGAGGGAGA